rnacentral:lncRNA from 1 species
UUUUAAUUCUAUUGAGUGGGGUUUUAUUUUAUCUGCUAACCUCAAGUUGGUGAAACACGUAUGUUGAUGCAUCUAGUCUAGCAUGGACUCACUCAUCAGGAUUGGGCAUGAGCGGAUUCACACUGAAUAAAAAUACGUAAAUGAAACAACUGAUACUAAUAUAUAAUCUUAGUUUUCAACAUUUUGGGAAUUAGCUGAUGAAUUAAUUGUUGUUGUUCUUGCUACCUUUAGUAGUUAUUAUAUCUGUCAUGCUUCGUGGAUUAUUUAUA